rnacentral:rRNA from 1 species
GCGCGAAACCUCCGCAAUGCGAGCAAUCGCGACGGGGGGACCCCAAGUGCCACUCUUAACGGGGUGGCUUUUCAUAAGUGUAAAAAGCUUUUGGAAUAAGAGCUGGGCAAGACCGGUGCCAGCCGCCGCGGUAACACUGGCAGCUCAAGUGGUGGCCGUUUUAUUGGGCCUAAAGCGUUCGUAGCCGGUUUGAUAAGUCUCUGGUGAAAUCCUACAGCUUAACUGUGGGAAUUGCUGGAGAUACUAUCAGACUUGAGGUCGGGAGAGGUUAGAGGAACUCCCAGGGUAGGGUGAAAUCCUAUAAUCCUGGGAGGACCACCUGUGGCGAAGGCGUCUAACUGGAACGAACCUGACGGUGAGUAACGAAAGCCAGGGGCGCGAACCGGAUUAAAGCCCCAG